rnacentral:rRNA from 1 species
AGGACGAACGCUGGCGGCGUGCCUAAUGCAUGCAAGUCGCACGCGCGGCGCGUAAGCGCCGUGAGUGGCGCACGGCUGAGGAUCACGUGGGAACAUGCCUCCUUGUGGGGGACAACACCGCGAAAGCGGUGCUAAUCCCGCAUACGCUCGGCAACGAGGAAAGCGUGCAAACGCGCAGGGAGAGUGGCCCGCGGCCCAUCAGGUGGUUGGUGGGGUAAUGGCCUACCAAGCCGGUGACGGGUAGCUGGUCUGUGAGGACAGACAGCCAGACUGGGACUGAGACACGGCCCAGACUCCGACGGGAGCAGCAGCAAGGAUUUUCGCAAGUGGCGCAAGCCUAGAACGAGCAACGCCGCGUGGAGGAUGACGGUCCUUCGGGUUGUAAACUCCGUUUGCGGGUACAGUGAUGACGUACCCGCGAAGUAAGCUCGGCUAACUC